rnacentral:rRNA from 1 species
AUUGAACGCUGGCGGCAGGCCUAACACAUGCAAGUCGAGCGGUAGAGAGAAGCUUGCUUCUCUUGAGAGCGGCGGACGGGUGAGUAAUGCCUAGGAAUCUGCCUGGUAGUGGGGGAUAACGUUCGGAAACGGACGCUAAUACCGCAUACGUCCUACGGGAGAAAGCAGGGGACCUUCGGGCCUUGCGCUAUCAGAUGAGCCUAGGUCGGAUUAGCUAGUUGGUGAGGUAAUGGCUCACCAAGGCGACGAUCCGUAACUGGUCUGAGAGGAUGAUCAGUCACACUGGAACUGAGACACGGUCCAGACUCCUACGGGAGGCAGCAGUGGGGAAUAUUGGACAAUGGGCGAAAGCCUGAUCCAGCCAUGCCGCGUGUGUGAAGAAGGUCUUCGGAUUGUAAAGCACUUUAAGUUGGGAGGAAGGGCAGUUACCUAAUA